rnacentral:tRNA from 1 species
AGAAGUGAAGCUGGUUAGAAAAUUUCGGAGAAAUUAAAAAGCGCUUGACUGGCAGUCAAGAGGUCAUGGGUUCGAAUCCCAUCUUCUCCA